GACGAACGCUGGCGGCGUGCCUAACACAUGCAAGCCGAGCGGGGUUCCUUCGGGAACCUAGCGGCGAACGGGUGAGUAACACGUGGGCAACCUGCCCUCAAGCCUGGGAUAACUCCGGGAAACCGGUGCUAAUACCAGAUAAUCAUUGCUUCCGCAUGGAAGCUUUGUAAAAGUUUUUCGCUUGAGGAUGGGCCCGCGGUGCAUUAGCUUGUUGGUGGGGUAAUGGCCUACCAAGGCGACGAUGCAUAGCCGACCUGAGAGGGUGACCGGCCACACUGGGACUGAGACACGGCCCAGACUCCUACGGGAGGCAGCAGUAGGGAAUUUUCCGCAAUGGGCGAAAGCCUGACGGAGCAACGCCGCGUGAGUGAUGACGGCCUUCGGGUUGUAAAGCUCUGUUCUUAGGGAAGAAGUUCUGACGGUACCUAAGGAGAAAGCCCCGGCUAACUACGUGCCAGCCGCCGCUGUAA
rnacentral:rRNA from 1 species